CAAGAUCAGGUUUUAUGUCACAGUGGAAGGCUGAGAUCAAUGAUGAUACAACAGCAGAGUUCCAAAAGUGCCCCAGUGUCUGUGGAAUCACAUGGAACUUCUCCCACCAGUGCACAAAUCCCUUUGAAAAAGAGGAUGUAACUAUUGCUGCAGCUGUUAAAAAUUUAUGUAUAGCCUUCCCAUUAGCCACAUUCCAUUUGGAAUUCCAGAGGUAAACUGGAAUUCUGAGGAGGAAACUCUGGCAGUGCAGUGCUUGCAGGUGUAGCUGUAAAUUCAGCUUGACCUGGUGUUUGAACCACAAAUUCUGGGGCCCCUCUCCCUCCCAGAUGUGCUGAGUGAUCCCUGGGAAGCUGCUGCUCAUUCCCAGGGAGCAGGGCAGGACCUCCUCAGCAGUGCUGCAGGAGUGAUUUGAAGGGUUCACACCCUCUCCUGUAAUCCUGUCUGGCCCAAAACCACUCCUGGGAGGGCUGGGGGCUGUGCUGGGUCACGGAGCUCUGGAAUUGCAAAGGUACAGAACAGGACAAUUUGAAUCAAGAAAUCUCUCUCCUUUCUUGCCUUGGAGCUGGCUGUGUCAAUCUUCAGUUUUCAAGGGGGAAAAAUCCCAGCCUGUGGAAUUUGUGGCUUUCUAAACCAUUCCUUUGUGCGGUGACUUCACAUCAGAGCAGAUCCUGCUUCUCCAGAGGGGUGGGAGCAGGGAUUGCUGGUCCACAGGAAAUUUUGGGUUGUUGUGGCCUUGGCUGUCAGAGUGUGGGGGUUUGUUGGCCAUAAUUCCUCUUCCAAGCCGAAAAAAAGCACUCACGGAAGGAAGAGGCUGCACCCUGAACAUCUCCAGAGAGCCACGCGUGCCAAGGGCCAGCGCUGGGUGUGAAGCACCAUCCUCAGUGCCUGGAGAGGGCACAGGAACACUCUGACCAUUCAUAAAGGGUUCUUUGGAAACCUCUCCAACACAGCUGAAGUGCAAAAAUUACUUCAAGUGCUCACAAACUCCACCUGUGGGGCCAUAACUCAGCUGAGACCAAGAGCUCCCGGUUCCUCCACAGUGAGUGGGAGCAGUUCGGUCCCACCACUUCCAAUGACUUCAGAGUGAAAGGAAAGUUAUUUCAAAGUAAGUAAAACAUUUUCACCAGUGAAAAACUUCCUCCCAAGGUCUAAUUCAUGGCUUGAAUGAGCUCCCUAGAGCAGAGCUCACUGAGGUGUCUGCUGGUGAGGGGAGAGGGGAGCAGCUUUGGUGGCAAACCUGGUUUUGCUGUUGCCUUCUGUUUAACUUCAGUGUGUGCUGUUAUGUGAUGGAAGUAGAAAAGUGCAUCUGAAAGCAGCAAAUAUGAAAGGUACCAGUACAUUAAAAUGAUACCAGGUGAAUGCUGCAGGAGGAGGAGAUUCCUGAGCCAGGGACUGAGUCGCUUCUGACGAGGUUUAAACUGAGCAAGUGACGGGAGUUCAACAUCUGCAUUUUUGUUCUUCAGUGACAGAGGCACUUGUUUCAUUUUGGACCUGAAAUAACAAUUAAACAAGCUUUUCUACUUCUUGCAGGAGUCAGUUUUUCAGACCAUUUUAAUGAAUGUGUAUUUGUCUAAAAGUGAUGAGGCCUGGGAAGGAUCUGGUGCUAAAGCACCUUUAUUUCCCUAACUCGAGGUGUCGAGGCAGCAGAGAGAGCCUGUCUGCCCUGCUUAGGCUGAUCUAACCAGGAACCUGAAUUCAGCUGACACACAGAUGACACCCACACCCAGCCCUUCCCUUCCACAGUGUUCCCAUCUGUUCCUGAGGGGAGGAAAGGAAAAUCAGGUUGGUUUUGUUGCUGUUUUGCUCAGGAGGGAGCAGGCUCUGCUUCCUCCAGGUGCAACAUUCAUCUACCAAAGCAGAUUUAUUUUCCUUUUUAACAUUCAGAAUUUAGUGUGGGGUUUGAGGGAUUUUGUCCCUGUGGUGCUGCAGGGCUUUCAGCAUCCCCUGCUGGAAAUUCUUCAUGGAUACCCAGGUCCAGGCACCUGUGGAUGGUGGCUUGGCCGUGUCACCUCCACCUGCUCAGGACUGAGGGGCAUGAGUUGGUCAUGGGUUUAACAAAACCACAAAAUAGCCCAAAAUCAAGGGAUUUCCAGGGGCCUGGGAGGUCCUGCAGCC